GAGGAGGAGGAGGAGGAAGGUUUUAGUGAAACACAGGAGGGAAGGAAGGAGCUUUCUUUCUUUCCAUUUUUCUUUCUCCACUUUUUCAUACUUUUUUGCUCCCAUGAAACAUAAAAAAUGGCGGAGUGUUUCUGUCUUUCCUAAGUUUGUUCUGUCGGUCAAAAUGGGAGGAAAAACAACAACAACAACAACAACAAACCCGACAAAACCCAAAGCGCACAUUUUCCCUCUAAUUAAUGAGAGCUGAUUAUUUUCCCUGUGCAUGAAGAAAGGGGAAAAGAGAGACAGGAAAAUACCGACACACACACACACACACACUCUCUCACACACACUCACACACUCACACACACACUCACACACACACACAGGUCGGAGGUAAAAGCGGUUGGCGCGCGCGCGGACUGAGUUGGGGCUCGAACCCGCUUCUGCUCGCAGUCACUUACUUGUCUGAGUCCUGUGACAUGAUGAUGGUUUUGGCUCCUCGGCGAUAAAUCCUGGAGAAACUGGACUUUCAGCUUUCUGAUCCUGUGCUCCCAUUGGCUGAGGUGUGUAAGGAGGCGAGCUGUGAUUGGCCAAAGCAGCACAGUGCAGACAGGUGGGAGUCCGAGAUCACAGAACAGCACGGGAUACCUGCUGAGAUCUGUCCCAAAGUCCUGAAGUGCAGGAACUGAACUCAAAACUCAGCGAGUGGAGCUGAGUGAGAUUAACACCGUGUACCUCACCGGCCUCUAAUCAGUGAUAUAUUAAUAUAUACUGUUCAAGCAGGAGAAAUAAACAGAGUUUAUGAUUGAUGGCCAUGUUAGUGAUUAAUUUUGAAUUAUUUUUUAGAAAUUAUUUUACUUGAAUGUUUCUGAAUGUUUUGAUGAUUUAAGUUGAAUUACAUUUUUAAAAAAAACAGAAAUUGACUCUUUUAAAUUUCACUCACCGAUGACUGAGUGCCGGCACGGUGGUGUAGUGGUUCACACUGUCGCCUCACAGCAAGAAGGUUCUGGGUUCGAGCCCAGUGGGCAACGAGGGCCUUUCUGUGCGGAGUUUGCAUGUUCUCCCCGUGUCCGCGUGGGUUUCCUCCGGGUGCUCCGGUUUCCUUCACAGUCCAAAGACAUGCAGGUUAAGAUAAUUGGUGGCUCUAAAUUAACCGUAGGUGUGAGUGUGAAUGGUUGAGAGGAGAAAACCUCUAUAAUAAUUCAGUACAAGGCAAAGAGAAACCAUUACUUUACCAUUCCCUAGAGAUGUUGAUGGCUGAAGCCUUCAGAGCACCACGUCACUGUAGUGAUAUGCCAAGAUGGAUGAAUGAGUGGGGUGUACAAACUUUUGAAUGGUGCGGUGUAUGUACUACAAAUCACUGAUACUGUAUAAAUCACUUAAGGGUUUAAUUUGCACUUUAAAAAUCUCCCUCUUCCCUUUGUUCAUUACACACCUUGGAUUCACUGUCUGUGCACGACUGUCUUUCGCUUCGUUGUGUUAUAUUGUAUUAUGUU